CCUUGGCCGACAGGUCUAGGUAAUCUUUUGAGUAUGCAUCGUGAUGGGGAUAGAUUAUUGCAAUUAUUAAUCUUCAACGAGGAAUGCCUAGUAGGCGCAAGUCAACAGCUUGCGCCGAUUACGUCCCUGCCCUUUGUACACACCGCCCGUCGCUCCUACCGAUUGAGUGUUCCGGUGAAUUAUUCGGACUGUUCCGUGUCGCGUACCCGCGUCCGGAAUGGGAAGUUUUGUGAACCUUAACACUUAGAGGAAGG
rnacentral:rRNA from 1 species